rnacentral:tRNA from 1 species
GGCGCUAUAGCCAAGUGGUUACGGCGGUUGAUUCGAAUACCGAAUUAUCAACUCCUCUUUGAGGGCGCAGGUUCAAAUCCUGCUGGCGUCG